rnacentral:rRNA from 1 species
UAAUACGAAGGGGGCGAGCGUUGUUCGGAUUUACUGGGCGUAAAGGGCGCGCAGGCGGCGGACCAAGUCAGGCGUGAAAGCCCCGGGCUUAACCUGGGAACUGCGUCUGGGACUGGUAUGCUAGAGUUCGGGAGAGGAGCGUGGAAUUCCCAGUGUAGAGGUGAAAUUCGUAGAUAUUGG